rnacentral:rRNA from 1 species
CAUGCAGUCGAGCGGUAAGGCCCUUUCGGGGUACACGAGCGGCGAACGGGUGAGUAACACGUGGGUGAUCUGCCUUGCACUCUGGGAUAAGCCUGGGAAACUGGGUCUAAUACCGGAUAUGACCUGCAGUUGCAUGACUGCGGGUGGAAAGAUUUAUCGGUGCAAGAUGAGCCCGCGGCCUAUCAGCUUGUUGGUGGGGUAAUGGCCUACCAAGGCGACGACGGGUAGCCGGCCUGAGAGGGCGACCGGCCACACUGGGACUGAGACACGGCCCAGACUCCUACGGGAGGCAGCAGUGGGGAAUAUUGCACAAUGGGCGGAAGCCUGAUGCAGCGACGCCGCGUGAGGGAUGACGGCCUUCGGGUUGUAAACCUCUUUCGACUCCGACGAAGCGAAAGUGACGGUAGGAGUAUAAGAAGCACCGGCCAACUACGUGCCAGCAGCCGCGGUAAUACGUAGGGUGCGAGCGUUGUCCGGAAUUACUGGGCGUAAAGAGCUUGUAGGCGGCUUGUCGCGUCGAUCGUGAAAACUCGGGGCUCAACCCCGAGCUUGCGGUCGAUACGGGCAGGCUUGAGUACUUCAGGGGAGACUGGAAUUCCUGGUGUAGCGGUGAAAUGCGCAGAUAUCAGGAGGAACACCGGUGGCGAAGGCGGGUCUCUGGGAAGUAACUGACGCUGAGAAGCGAAAGCGUGGGUAGCGAACAGGAUUAGAUACCCUGGUAGUCCACGCCGUAAACGGUGGGUACUAGGUGUGGGUUUCCUUCCACGGGAUCCGUGCCGUAGCUAACGCAUUAAGUACCCCGCCUGGGGAGUACGGCCGCAAGGCUAAAACUCA